AGCAGCCGCGGUAAUUCCAGCUCCAAUAGCGUAUAUUAAAGUUGCUGCAGUUAAAAAGCUCGUAGUUGAAUUUCGGGACCAUCAUGUCGGUCGUGCCUCGGUACGUACUGGCAUUGUUGGUUUCUACCUUCUGACGAACCAUGAUGUCAUUUAUUUGGUGUCGUGGGAAAUCAGGACUGUUACUUUGAAAAAUUAGAGUGUUUAAAGCAGGCUCACGCUUGAAUACAUUAGCAUGGAAUAAUGAAAUAGGACGUUUGAUUCUAUUUUGUUGGUUUCUAGGAUCGACGUAAUGAUUAAUAGGGAUAGUUGGGGGCAUUAGUAUUCAAUUGUCAGAGGUGAAAUUCUUGGAUUUAUUGAAGACUAACUACUGCGAAAGCAUUUGCCAAGGAUGUUUUCAUUAAUCAAGAACGAAAGUUAGGGGAUCGAAGACGAUCAGAUACCGUCGUAGUCUUAACCAUAAACUAUGCCGACUAGGGAUCGGAUGAUGUUAAUUUUUAAUGACUCAUU
rnacentral:rRNA from 1 species